GACGAACCGUGCGAACGUUGUUCGGAAUCACUGGGCUUAAAGGGCGCGUAGGCGGGUGAUCAAGUCCGGGGUGAAAUCUUUCGGCUCAACCGGAAAAUAGCCUUGGAUACUGGUCGCCUUGAGGGAGGUAGGGGCAUGUGGAACUUCCGGUGGAGCGGUGAAAUGUGUUGAUAUCGGAAGGAACGCCGGUGGCGAAAGCGACGUGCUGGAUCUCUUCUGACGCUGAGGCGCGAAAGCUAGGGGAGCGAACGGG
rnacentral:rRNA from 1 species